GAUGAACGCUGGCGGCGUGCCUAAUACAUGCAAGUCGAGCGAACAGACGAGGAGCUUGCUCCUCUGACGUUAGCGGCGGACGGGUGAGUAACACGUGGAUAACCUACCUAUAAGACUGGGAUAACUUCGGGAAACCGGCGCUUAUACCGGAUAAUAUAUUGAACCGCAUGGUUCAAUAGUGAAAGACGGUUUUGCUGUCACUUAUAGAUGGAUCCGCGCCGCAUUAGCUAGUUGGUAAGGUAACGGCUUACCAAGGCAACGAUGCGUAGCCGACCUGAGAGGGUGAUCGGCCACACGGGAACUGAGACACGGUCCAGACUCCUACGGGAGGCAGCGGUAGGGAAUCUUCCGCAAUGGGCGAAAGCCUGACGGAGCAACGCCGCGUGAGUGAUGAAGGUCUUCGGAUCUUAAAACUCUGUUAUUAGGGAAGAACAAAUGUGUAAGUAACUAUGCACGUCUUGACGGUACCUAGUCAGAAAGCCACGGCUAACUACGUG
rnacentral:rRNA from 1 species